CAGCACUUGCUCUCUACAGAAGUUAUAGUACAAGCAUUUUCUGAGAAAAAAGGGGUGAAUCUCCCACAAAUUUCAACAGAAAAUCUGACAAAUGUUUAUUACUCAUAAAAGUCUCCUCUAUAACAUAUAAAAGUCCUAAGAAAUCCAAGUGGUGGAAAGUAUUGAAAAAUACUGAAAUUGGGGGACUAUAUCCCAAUUUCCC